ensembl:rRNA 5S_rRNA 5S ribosomal RNA
GUGGUCUACAGCAUACCACCCUGAAUGCGUCCGAUCUCGUCUGAUCUCGGAAGCUAAGCAGGGUCGGGCCUGGUUAGUACUUGGAUGGGAGAAUCUGGUGGGGGGAUGUUGGUGUAGCCUGCU